rnacentral:rRNA from 1 species
CCAUGUGUAGCGGUGAAAUGCGUAGAUAUAUGGAGGAACACCGGUGGCGAAAGCGGCUCUCUGGUCUGUCACUGACGCUGAGGCUCGAAAGCGUGGGUAGCGAACAGGAUUAGAUACCCUGGUAGUNCACGCCGUAAACGCUGAGUGCUAGGUGUUAGGUCCUUUCCGGGACUUAGUGCCGACGCUAACGCAUUAAGCACUCCGCCUGGGGAGUACGACCGCAAGGUUGAAACUCAAAGGAAUUGACGGGGGCCCGCACAAGCGGUGGAGCAUGUGGUUUAAUUCGAAGCAACGCGAAGAACCUUACCAGGUCUUGACAUCCCGAUGCCCGCUCUAGAGAUAGAGUUUUUCUUCGGAACAUCGGAGACAGGUGGUGCAUGGUUGUCGUCAGCUCGUGUCGUGAGAUGUUGGGUUAAGUCCCGCAACGAGCGCAACCCUUAUUGUUAGUUGCCAUCAUUAAGUUGGGCACUCUAGCGAGACUGCCGGUAAUAAACCGGAGGAAGGUGGGGAUGACGUCAAAUCAUCAUGCCCCUUAUGACCUGGGCUACACACGUGCUACAAUGGUUGGUACAACGAGUCGCAAGCCGGUGACGGCAAGCUAAUCUCUGAAAGCCAAUCUCAGUUCGGAUUGUAGGCUGCAAC